UUGAAGUAAAAAUAUGUUAUCUUACAAUAUGUCCUCACAUCAUUAUGUAUCCAGGAGGCCUUGUUUUGAAACCUGCCAUGUUGGAAUUUCUUAUUUGUGACAGGCUAUAGACUUGGUAAUCAUUACAUUUACAUAACCCAUUACAUAUAACUUUCCUGACAAGCCCAUUAGCUCCAUAGUGACUGUGCUGAAAUGUCCUCAGUUUGCAAUUGGUCUUGAAUAUUCAAAAGACCACCUUUUUCAUAUUUUAUCAAGACCAAUACGAAAUUGGCAGCCAUUAAAACUGCAGCAUUACCUCCAGAGUCCAAGUUAGAUGGCUACAGUGCAUGUCCCUGUAUGCUACAUGUAGAUUCUUUGCAAUGGAUGUUUUCAGCUGUAUCAACACCCUCAAUAAUGCCCCAAAAUUGGUCUUGUGACAUGCAGAUAUAUUACCAGGCAGAAACUCAGGCCAUAACUUAAUACAUACGACACCAUGUACAUAGAAACAGGACAUACACAUAACAACACAUGCCCAGCCCUUAGACUCCAUAAAAUAAGUUGCAGGUAGACUACAUGUAUAACAGAAAUCUGCAUCCAUGGCAACAAUAAAUAGACAAGCACAAGCAAUUACCAAUAUUUCAAAGGGAAUUGAUAGUAAAAUAUGGACAUGAACAUCCUUUACACAACAAAACUGAGUUUGGUGAUGCAUGCAUGUUUGCAGGUAAUCCGUUACGUAGCCCCAGCUUACUCUAAUUACUAGUAGCAAGGUUUGUUUGAAGAAUAGUCAAGAAUAGUAAUGGGUUUACAUGAGUCAUGUGAUGCAUGAAGCAAAAUUAACAGAACACUGUAAGCAAAACACAAACAGGAAACAUUGCCUGUCCAUGUGAGUAUCACCCUUACAGUGCCUCACAAGUCACAAGCCAGGGGGCAUCAUCACUACACUAUGAUCGGUGCACAUCCACACUUGGGAGAAUCGAUACCUCCACCCAAGCUGCCACAAGGACGCACUAGUGCAGCAUUCUGAAUAAUUACAGGCAUGGACUGCACACCAGUGAUUGCAGGUAACAGUUUACCUACUACAGUGGUAUACAUGUACAUAAUGGUCAUGGCCAUUGUGCUUUGACAGGGCAAAGGGAGUGACAUUAAUGAAUAGGAGAAAAGGUAGAGCAUUGAAACAUUAUGGGUACUCUAUUGAUUUGCAGUGUAAGGUAUAAGCCCAGGUAUUUACAGAGGAAGAAAUUAAUAAUAACACGAUCCAGACAGGGUUUGGCUUAACAGGAUAUUACAAACUAAGCAAGCUAUAACUUAAGUACACUUGGGAUUCUAAUUCCAGAAUGAAAGCAAUGUAGGGAAAAAAAUAACACCAUUUUGUUAAACUGGGCCAUAUAUUUUCCAUUAAAUUGAUUCAAUCAACUGUUAGAGCUACAAUCAUCAUUUAAUUUUCCACUAAAAAAAUGGACAAAGAAAGCACAACUAAUCCUAGAUAAAAGUAGACACUAUAGCAAAUAGCUAUAGGCAUGCUUUAGUAAGUUUCCAGCAUUAUCUAACUCAAUUGUGACUUGAGUUAUGACAUCAAUGCAAUAAUGAACUACAACAGGCAACAGCAUAUAUGGAAUAGAUGCAAUUCUGGGGUGGAAAGGUCCAUGAUGUUGUGCUGAAUUAUUGGAUUUUUUGACAGCAACAGACAUUAGUGAUGUUUUAAAUCAAGCAAUGUAAUUAAGAAUUCCUCCCACAUUAUGAUAAGUUCUCUGAUGGGGCAUUAGGCUAAACCAGGCAGACUUUUUUUAUCUAUGUGAUAAGAAGUCAUAUAUAGAUUACGGAAACAUUAACAUACAACAAUCCAAUAAUUUUUGUUUACAAAAUGAACAUGCAAGUAUGUCACAUGUCUGUUUGAUUUUGAAUCUUGCACUGUUACAUUUUUUGGCCCAUGAUCUCUUCAUCCCUUCUAAACAAUACAUGACCUAGCAGUGUUUCAAAUAUUUUAGGUAGAAACAUCAUUCCCAUUAGAAAACAUUACACGAGAGACCUAGUCUAGUUUUAUGGAUUUUGUUUCCAUGCAAAUGCAGGGGUAGAUGAUGUCAUAGAGUACAUGUUGUCUGACAUUGCAACCUGGAGUACUGCUGGAGCAAUGCAUUUCAGAAUACAAAAUAACCAAAAAUCAAUAUGGGGCACAAAUGGCGACAGGCCCUGCGAGGUAAUGAGGUACGUGAAAAGGCAUUACAUGGACUAUAUGGAGAAUAUGGCGGGCAACCAGAACUGUAACAGGGCUCAAUUCAUCGAAGACAGCCUUCCAUGGACUGUGUAGAGUUGGAGAAGGUCUUCUCAGAACAUGUAAAACAUGGGGAAAACUACAAGGAGAAGAAACAGACAACACAGCAGCCACUGUGGAUAAAUUCUCCCAGCAAGAUUCAGCCAAGAAUCCUGGAGGCCAGUGUAAAUGAGUGGGUGGCAUAUUGAAAACUUGCAACAAUAACAGUUUCAGCACCAUGUACAAGACCCAUAUCACACCAUAUCAGGGCCUGUGCUGCGGGGAGAAAUGGCCAUUCUGUGACAUCAACAUCAGACAGUGAUGGCACAUUCACCAUCCAUAACUGGGCUUUAUGAUCUCAAACCUUGAAGAAUAAAGAGCUGUGUGCACCAGACUGAAGAUCAGAUAGUGGUGAACGCUGUUCCUGCACCAUGGGAAGGUACAUCCCCACUGUCGUGUUUGCAAACAUGAGCAAUGAGGAGGUACAAGAACUCUUUAAAGAGACUCUUGCCAUCGUCAUCAUAUUUGGACUGUUGGUCUAUCUAUGCCUAAAGCACUGUGACCUAGAAAGAUGGAUAUUUCAGAGGGCAUAAUUAUCAGUUUCACUUGAGAAAUAACAAGUGGAUUAUUGCAGUGCACUGAGGAAUGUCCUUUUACAUUUUUAUGUGACUGCAGUAUGACUGUCUGAUUGAUUCACAUGUAUGUUGCUACAUUCAGAUGUUAAUGUCAUAAGUGUAGCAUCUAACAAGAGAUACAAAAUGCUACCCAGGGUAUGCAGAUAGCAUCAUGUACUUCAACUGAAUCUGUCUCUAUUUGCACACUAUACACUCUACAAAUGUGCUCGUGCUUAAAAUCAGCACACUUUGAUCAGCACACUUAAGUUGCCUUCAAUAAUUUUUGGAACUAUGUAACCUUAUAUUUCUGGCCAAUAUGACUUAAGAGUUUUAUGAAUUGAUUCGCAUGAUCUUUGUGGGUAAGGUCUUAGUCUAAAGAAGAGAUAUUCUAUUUCACAUGCAUAGAAAAAUCUUCAUCCUAUCAUUUAUUGGUCGUUAAAUGGCACAUUGAUUUGUACAACUACAUGCCAAAAUUGGAUGCGUAGAAUUUAGAUGAUGGUACUUAAAACCAUAUAAAGAUUCAACCAAGCAUAUAUUCUUGCAAAGCAAAAUCUGACUUUUCAAUUUGUCAAACUUUAGGAAAAUAUGUAAAAGCCAUGUUUGAUCUAUUUUUUUUAUAUGACAUAAAUGUUGUAUUACAAGCUACUGCCUGGCUAGCAUCGGACCAUACCAAAUACCACUGCUUUUAUCAAAUUAUCAUGUAUGGAAGCUCAUCUGUAGCAAUCAUAGAACAGUGCUAGACUUUCUCCCAACUCAAAGGUUUACAUGGAUCAAAUUUUCAACUGCCACUGUCGCCAUCUUCAGGAUCAAUAUGAUGCUAUGCUGAUGCUACUGCUUUGAUGUUUCUUUCCUAAUUGGACACAGCUGGUAUCUUUUUUUGAAUGCUACCAUUAUAACUGACAAGCGCUAGUUAACCUUUGAAGACGUGAAAGCACAGAACCUUUUUACCAGAGGACUGACGCAAAACCACUCUGCCUUUGUCCUUUCCCUGUCAUUGUAGUGUUUAUCAGUGAUUUUUCUCCAGGCAGUCAGGAAAUGAGCUUCUGGAAGGUUCAGCAGCCUGAAAACAACCUACAGCUAUGAAAGGAUCCACCAAAUUAGCUCCUUUUUACUGUUGCCUAGCAACACCCUCCUCGUUCAGCUGCUUGGGAUUGUGGGAUAUGUUAUUUGUCUCAACACAUUUCAUGCCAUACGGACACUACAUACGACUGGAUGCCGCCAGAUCGAGAGAAUCUAACACGUUUCUGGCCAGACAUGUCAUGUCUUGAUGCGCAGUCUACGUGAGGAAUGACAGCAGCAUGUGGAGAGCCAUCAUCAUAGCCAUUGUUGUGCUCACGCUGAUAGGUGAGGUGGAGAGUUGGUUUCUAGAGGGUCCUAUUGAUGCACUUUCCAAGAUGACAAACGGUGAUUUUAAAGAGAUGCUGGCCAUAAUCAUCAUCAUCGUCCUGCUUCUUUAUCUGUGCUGCAUCCAAUGUUAAAAUGAGGCUUGUGUUCUCCUUACAAUUUCUGACAUAACUGACAACAACAAACAGCAUAUUUACAACCAAUCAUCUAAAAGAAGUAAUGGUAAAAUAUUUUCAUAUCUUCAAAACAGUGAAGCAAUAUGACUUUCACCUAUGUUUAUAGGUCAGGGCUGUAGCUCUGCCAAAAAAUCCAGCUGAACCAUUUUUGAUGUGCUCUGUUGCUAAAGCUUUGGACAUGACUGAUGUUUUUGCUGUGUAGAAUAUUCUAAGGCCUGGAAAUAAUAAGAAGUACUUUCGGUCAGCCUGAAUUACAACAAUACUCAAGAAUUUACUGACAUCUCAUCUCUGCCUCCUUACUUUCAUCAAGAACUUUGGUACCUUAUACUGCCACCAUCACCAGCCCAGCCUGAGGUGGCCUGACCACCAUAGAACUGUUUUCUACACAGAUAUGCAGUACAUUCAAAGAGCUUGCAACAAAGUCACAGCUGUACAUUGUGGUAAGGAGCUUGCCAGUGUUCCAAUAUUGGAAAAAAACAUCUGAGGGCCAAGGAGAACUUGCAACUACUGUCAUAUGGAUGUACAUGUAAAGGACCACUCAGAGGGAAUUGUUAACAUAUAUACAUAGGAAUAUCUGAAGGCCAGAAGCUGUUGAAGCAAGGAAGAUAAGACCUCCUAGGCCUUGUUUAAAGUCAACCACCUGGAAAGAAGACAACAUUUCCCUGCAAUGUCAAUAAGUCAAAUCAUAUGAUUGCUGUUCUCUCAACAAAGGGUAUAUUGUAUGUAUAGGGAGAAAUAGACAGAGUCAGAAGUUGUAAUUGAUUUAAGUAGUACAAGACAGCAGGACACUUGCCAUAGUCACUACUUUUCAAACUUUUGAUCCUGGCCUUUUCGUCAAAAUGGAUUUUAUAUCAAUGAGGGCAGACAAUGACAAUGGUGACAUUGAGGUCUUUUUUGCCAUCGUGAUUAUUGUAUGUUUAAUUGUGUAUGUCUGUGCUAGGUGCAUACCUGGUGAAGAAGACCUAUUUUGAAGAUGUAUUUUGUUCCUUACCAGACUGGCUUGGAAAAAUAACAUCAUCACUCCAUGUGUCCAACUACAGACAUGAUAGUAGUAACUAAAACUGUCAUUAAGUUUGUUUACAUCUUACUCUUUCCACUGUUGACAAAAACGAUAUUAUGGAAAUCAAUCUUUUCAUGAAGAUGUAUCUAUACAAAGGUAAAUGUUAUAAGAGACAUUUUCAUGUAUUGUGUGUAAGACAUGAAUUAACUUGAUAUGUUUAGUAAGUUAAACCUAUUACUGAUCUACAUGUACUGAACAGCUACAAGUACUUGUUUCCAUUUGUGGCUGUGCCACUAGAUGUACAAUAGAAAAGGUAUCAUGGAACAGAAAUCUAUGUAUGGUCAAACCUGUACAAGUGAUCAUGACAACCUCUACACAAGGACCACACGGCCAAUGUGAAUACUUUUUGGUCGUCCUUCAGAUAACACAAGCAUUAAGAAUCCUGUCUAUAGUGACCACCUGUCCACAGACCAGAGUUUAUCAGUUACCUGAGUGGUCAGUUUGGGCUGUAUAACUGAUCUUGCUUGAUUUUGGAAGUUGUACAAUAAAACAAUCAGCUAAGAAGCUUUAGAAUUAUCAUCUCAUGAGCACCAUCUUUUAUUCCACCACUGUGUCACAUCAGCCUGGGUGGUACUGUGGAAAUGCAGUGUGCUAGCAAGAGCAUGGUACUUUUGUAAAGCACAUGCUGAAGACCUCAGCCACUUUAUGUACUUAAGGGAUCAAAUGAUCAGAUGUCAUUUUUGAUGGCCUCAUGACUUGUAUCAGUGGUUGCACAUUAAUCUUGAAGGUACUGAGAUGUGAGAAGGGAUCCGGACAGAAUCAACUAUAAGCACACUGAAGUAGCUGUCUGGCUUCCAAUUCUGUACAGGUUACAGAGUUAGGCAGCAGGUCCAAUAUUAAUGUUAGGAUGUGUAUGAAUGACAGGCUGGGGGAUAACAAAGCCUGAAUUUCAUGGUAUGUUUCCAUCUACUGGUCAAUUUGAAUGAUAUGUAGGCUGGUAGAGCAAUGUAUUGUUGGUUUAUUACUGCUAACUAGGGGUGGGCAUUUACCGGUACAGAAAAUUCAGGUGCAGGUAUGGUCCAAAUCCAGAGGAUCAGGUUCAGGCCUCUGUUUCAGACUGAGUUGCAGACUGUAGAAACCCAGUAAAAAUCAUUUCCUGCUAUUUUCUUGGACCUAUAAGCCCCAAAACACAUUAACGCCUGUGCUGCCGGUAUUAUCUGUUCAUUUUCUAAUCAGUCCAAAAUCUAGUCCACUGAUUUUUUUUAGGUCCUGUUUUUCUAGACCGGUCCAAGAAGAAAAAACGUUUUUGUACCAGUUCGCCGUACCGGCACCCACCCCUACUGCUAAACAUAGAAACAUUAAGUAUUGCAUCUGUCCAUAUUGAUGUUAACAAUUCAACCAUGAUGGACUUGUUUCUUAAAUGUUGUAUGUUGCAUAUCUUUCAUCAUGACAAGUCUGCCAGCUAUGAAAGUCUUCUAAUGUGGUGACAUGUGCACCCUGACUAACUUGGAGUGGUACUUUCAGAGUCAUUGAUGUUCAGUUGAGAAUAAACAUCUUGAUGUAUAUGGCGUCUGACAGAAAUGUAAAAAAGAGAGCAUA